CUGAAAAUUGUAGGUGAAAUAUAACUAAACAAAACUUCAAGUUUAUAGUCCAUAAGUAGCCCAUAUCUUCUGUCCAACUUUCAAACUAAAAAACAAGGCUUCCUGGUUCUUGUUCUGUUUUAAUUCCUGGUGUGCAGGCCGCGAGUCCAUCAUACCAUAAAAGGGCAAAAAACGCCAAAGGAGCCGUGAUUAAUGAGCAGCGUUCACCUUUACCUUGGAUCCACCUGCAGGAGCUGCUCUAUUGGAGCGGUGGAGACCUGCUGAGGCUGCAGCGCAGGCUGCUCAGUGUAAUUCAGCACCAGCAAACAUGGAAAAGGAGACUAUCAGUGGACAAAGAAAGACGAUUUUGCAGAGUUGACAACAAGACUCAUAGGUCACCAUCUCAGAGUGUACAGAGCCAUUAUAUGAACAGCGCCCAUCAGAAGCAAAGUUGACUGAUCCAUACUUGACUGCUUCAGUGGAUUUUAAUGGACCUCGCCCUGAAGGUAUGGACGAGCUUCUCAUCACUCUCUUACUGUCUCAUCAUCUUGUUGACUGGCUGGCACGCCUGAGGACUCGAGACAUCCAGACAUAGGCACUGGCAGACCUGCAGGUUGACUUCUCAGUUGUAUGGCAGGUCUGAGUGUGUCUUAGAGGGUCAUGACCCUCCCAGACUGUGACCUGGACAAACAGGACCGAGGAGCUGCAACAGGACAUGGAAUGUCCCUUUUGUUUUAGUUCUGUUUCACUUUUUUGUUGAAAAGGUGGAAAAUUCCUCCCUCUGCACUUGCCGGAGCAAAAGAAAACAUUUUCUUGGCAGCGAAUGAGGUAGUUUACAUAAGUAACAUUAUGUGACUGUAACAAAAAUUAUAAAAGCUCAGGCAUUGCUCUGUGUUGUAACUGAGGGUGCAUUAUUCUUUCUUUUCUCUUUGUGAUUGUCGUCUUCUAAGCCACUGAAAAUGUGAUUUAUUUUAAGAGCAGCACUUUUUCUUUGUGAACAUAUUUUUGGUGUUAGCACAGCCACUUGUCUGCAUUAUCUGUACGUCCCACAUUAUAUAUGUUCGCUAUGCGUCUGGUACCAUGUGGAACCAAUUGUUUCUUAAUAAAAAAAGCCAAUGUGAAUGAUUUAGAA